rnacentral:rRNA from 1 species
GACGAACGCUGGCGGCGUGCUUAACACAUGCAAGUCGAACGGAAAGGCCCUGCUUUUGUGGGGUGCUCGAGUGGCGAACGGGUGAGUAACACGUGAGUAACCUGCCCUUGACUUUGGGAUAACUUCAGGAAACUGGGGCUAAUACCGGAUAGGAGCUCCUGCUGCAUGGUGGGGGUUGGAAAGUUUCGGCGGUUGGGGAUGGACUCGCGGCUUAUCAGCUUGUUGGUGGGGUAGUGGCUUACCAAGGCUUUGACGGGUAGCCGGCCUGGGAGGGUGACCGGGCACAUUGGGACUGAGAUACGGCCCAGACUCCUACGGGAGGCAGCAGUGGGGAAUAUUGCACAAUGGGCGGAAGCCUGAUGCAGCAACGCCGCGUGCGGGAUGACGGCCUUCGGGUUGUAAACCGCUUUCGCCUGUGACGAAGCGUGAGUGACGGUAAUGGGUAAAGAAGCACCGGCUAACUACGUG